rnacentral:rRNA from 1 species
UACGUAGGGGGCAAGCGUUGUCCGGAAUCAUUGGGCGUAAAGCGCGUGUAGGCGGCUCGGUAAGUCCGCUGUGAAAGUCCAGGGCUCAACCCUGGAAUGCCGGUGGAAACUGUCGAGCUAGAGUCCGGAAGAGGCGAGUGGAAUUCCUGGUGUAGCGGUGAAAUGCGCAGAUAUCAGGAGGAACACCAAUGGCGAAGGCAGCUCGCUGGGACGGUACUGACGCUGAGGAGCGAAAGCGUGGGGAGCGAACAGG